UGACGUUGGCGGCGCGCAUAAUGCAUGCAAGUCGAACGAAGUCCCACCCUUCGGGGUGACGACUUAGUGGCAGACGGCUGAGUAACGCGUGAGUGAUCUGCCUUUGGGUAGGGGAUAACAGAGAGAAAUUUCUGCUAAUACCGCAUACGAUCCGCAGUGUAGAGGCUGCGGAUGAAAGGUGCCGGGUAACCGGUUGCCGCCCUUAGAUGAGCUCGCGUCCUAUCAGGUAGUUGGUGGGGUAAUGGCCUACCAAGCCUUAGACGGGUAACUGGUGUGAGAGCAUGACCAGUCAGAGGGGGACUGAGACACGGCCCCCACUCCUACGGGAGGCAGCAGCAGGGAAUCUUCCACAAUGGGCGAAAGCCUGAUGGAGCGACGCCGCGUGAGGGAUGAAGGCUUUAGGGUCGUAAACCUCUUUUCUCAGGGAAGAGCAAGGACGGUACCUGAGGAAUAAGUGACGGCUAACUACGUGCCAGCAGCCGCGGUAAUACGUAGGUCACAAACGUUGUCCGGAUUUAUUGGGCGUAAAGGGUCCGUAGGCGGUUCGGUAAGUCUCCUGUGAAAUCUUCAGGCUCAACUUGAAGAGGUCGGGGGAUACUGCCGGACUUGAGACUGUUAGAGGCAAGUGGAAUUCCCGGUGUAGUGGUGAAAUGCGUAGAUAUCGGGAGGAACACCAGUGGCGAAAGCGGCUUGCUGGGACAGUUCUGACGCUGAGGGACGAAAGCGUGGGUAGCAAACCGGAUUAGAUACCCGGGUAGUCCACGCCGUAAACGAUGAAUGCUAGGUUUUCGGGGUAUCGACCCCCUGAGAGCCGUAGCUAACGCGAUAAGCAUUCCGCCUGGGGACUACGGUCGCAGACUAAC
rnacentral:rRNA from 1 species